rnacentral:lncRNA from 1 species
GACAAGGGCCACAAAAGACAAUUGAGUGAGUUGAAUUAACCAAUUAGAAGUAUUCACAAACAUGUCAAAGUUGACUUAAAGUUCAAUUCAAAAUAAGUAUUAUGAAAAGAAAGUUUGAAAAUCAAAGGCAUAAGGCCUAGGUUUCUAAUGUUGAAAACAAGUCAGAUGUUUGCACAAAAGUUUUCUGGUUUGGGUUAAGGAUGAAAAUAUGGAUCAAGGUUAAGCAUGCAAGAAGGUGA